CCACACGACUACACGGACUCCACGGAACACGCAAACACAGAACCUGCCUGCCAAGACAGCCUGUCAGUGACAACACACAAGGGUUCCGUAGAUCUGCUGAACCCAGAGGACGCUCACAGAAUCCGAAUCAAGAUCGCUGACCUGGGAAACUCCUGCUGGGUGCAUAAGCACUUCUCUGAGGACAUCCAGACGUGUCAGUAUCGCGCCAUCGAGGUUCUGAUUGGUGCAGAGUACGAUACACCUGCAGACAUAUGGAGCACUGCCUGCAU